rnacentral:ncRNA from 1 species
UCCUUUUAAUAGGACGAUGUGUAUAAACUAAUAUACGCUCCCCUUACAAACAUGUGAGAGGGAGCGAUUUU